rnacentral:misc_RNA from 1 species
GGUGACAUCCUCAUCGCUUGAAUAUCCGUAUUAACAAUCCAAAACUCCACCCCAUCCAUGGAACUCUCAAUCAUCCUAUUAACCGCAUUAGAUCCCCCACCGCCAACACCAAUAACCUUAAUCCUGGCCGCAUUGUAUUCGUUCGAAACAGUCGAGUCCAUCAAGCUAUCAGUGACACUACCACCCGACUUCUCCUUUCGCGAAUCAUUAACCGUGUCACUCCCCG